ensembl:rRNA 5S_rRNA 5S ribosomal RNA
UCCCAUGGCCAUACCACCCUGAACACACCCGAUCUCGUAUGAUCUUAGAAGCUAAGCAGGGCCGGGCCUGGUUAGUAUUUGGAUGGGAGACCACCUGGGAAUACUGGGUGCUGUAGGCU